UGGCGGCGANUGGCGAACGGGUGAGUAAUAUAUCGGAACGUACCCUGGAGUGGGGGAUAACGUAGCGAAAGUUACGCUAAUACCGCAUACGAUCUAAGGAUGAAAGUGGGGGCUCGCAAGACCUCAUGCUCCUGGAGCGGCCGAUAUCUGAUUAGCUAGUUGGUGGGGUAAAGGCCCACCAAGGCAUCGAUCAGUAGCUGGUCUGAGAGGACGACCAGCCACACUGGAACUGAGACACGGUCCAGACUCCUACGGGAGGCAGCAGUGGGGAAUUUUGGACAAUGGGCGCAAGCCUGAUCCAGCAAUGCCGCGUGAGUGAAGAAGGCCUUCGGGUUGUAAAGCUCUUUUGUCAGGGAAGAAACGGGUGGGGCUAAUAUCCUCACCUAAUGACGGUACCUGAAGAAUAAGCACCGGCUAACUACGUGCCAGCAGCCGCGGUAAUACGUAGGGUGCAAGCGUUAAUCGGAAUUACUGGGCGUAAAGCGUGCGCAGGCGGUUUUGUAAGUCUGUCGUGAAAUCCCCGGGCUCAACCUGGGAAUGGCGAUGGAGACUGCAAGGCUAGAGUUUGGCAGAGGGGGGUAGAAUUCCACGUGUAGCAGUGAAAUGCGUAGAUAUGUGGAGGAACACCGAUGGCGAAGGCAGCCCCCUGGGUCAAAACUGACGCUCAUGCACGAAAGCGUGGGGAGCAAACAGGAUUAGAUACCCUGGUAGUCCACGCCCUAAACGAUGUCUACUAGUUGUCGGGUCUUAANUNGACUUNNNNACGCAGCUAACGCNNGAAGNANANCGNCNUGGGG
rnacentral:rRNA from 1 species